rnacentral:siRNA from 1 species
CACAUGCCAAGUUUGGCCUCACA